UGCGGCAGCUUACCAUGCAAGUCGAACGGUAGCACAAAGGAGCUUGCUCCUUGGGUGACGAGUGGCGGACGGGUGAGUAAUGCUUGGGAAUCUGACUUAUGGAGGGGGAUAACUACUGGAAACGGUAGCUAAUACCGCGUAAUGUCUGCGGACUAAAGGGUGGGACCUUCGGGCCACCUGCCAUAAGAUGAGCCCAAGUGGGAUUAGGUAGUUGGUGAGGUAACAGCUCACCAAGCCCGCGAUCUCUAGCUGGUCUGAGAGGAUGACCAGCCACACUGGAACUGAGACACGGUCCAGACUCCUACGGGAGGCAGCAGUGGGGAAUAUUGCACAAUGGGGGGAACCCUGAUGCAGCCAUGCCGCGUGAAUGAAGAAGGCCUUCGGGUUGUAAAGUUCUUUCGGUGACGAGGAAGGCGAUUGUUUUAAUAGAACAAUCGAUUGACGUUAAUCACAGAAGAAGCACCGGCUAACUCCGUGCCAGCAGCCGCGGUAAU
rnacentral:rRNA from 1 species